AAAGAAUAAAAAGAGGAAAGAAACAGAAUAGCAGGGGACGAAACAGAGAAGGGAGAAAGGAAGAAAAGAAAAAGGGAAAAAUAAGGUUUUAAAGGUUCCAAGUUAAUUUGGUAAGUCAAUUUAGCCCCUUUUCUUAUGAUUUUUGAGUUUUUGGAAUCCUAGAGAUAAAUACUAUUUGUUUUAAGUAGAAAUUUUGAAAGUCAUUAGAUUUCUAAGUAUGGUUCAUGUUGAAUAAAAUGAUGGAAUUGGGGGUUUAUUUGAUAGAAAUUUUGAUUGGAAUUGAAUAAAGGAUUGAAUCGUAAACUAAGCUAUAAGUUUUGAGUUUUAGGGAUUAAAUGGAAAUAAAUUCAAAAUUAUGAAAAUAUGCUGGAAAUUUAAUAGUUAAGUAUGAGUUUGGACAAAAUUUGAAUAGAAAUGAAAUAUGAAUUGAGAUAGAAAAAGUAAGUAAAUCUAGUUAAGAUUAAAUUGAAAUUAAAGUAGAAAUUGAAUAAAAAUUGUAUUAAUUAGAUACAAAUUAGUAGUGAAUUAACGAAUAUGAAUUGUUUUAAUUCCCGUAGCUAAUGUUGUCUCGGGAAACCUCGGCUAAGCAAGGAAAAAAAAUGGCAAAGACAAAGGGAGUUAGCUCGAAAAAAUACGGUUUGUAUUUCUAUAAUCCGAACUUAGUUAUUAAUUGUUAUAUUUUUUUUAUUCAAUGCAUUUAAUAAAUGUUGAAGUGAGAAUUAUUGUGUUUAUAAUGGAAAUGGAUUAAUUUGGUAUGUGAUGAAUUUAUAUUGAUUGAAUUAAAUUGAAUUAUAUAUUAUAAAUAUAUAUAUGUGUGUGUGUGUGUGUGAAUGAGAUAUUAUGCAAUUAUGAUAAUUGAAUUUUGGAUAAAUAUUAUGAUAAAUAAUUAAGAUGGGAAUUAUUUGUAUUGUGUCUUUAUAAUUGAAAUGAAUUGAUUUAGUGUGUGAUAAAUUUAUAUUGAAUUGAUUUAUGAAUAUCUGUUUUAUUGAAUUUAUAUUGAUUGAAAUUAUUUUGAUUGAAUUUAUAUUGAUUGAAUUAUAUAAUAUAUAUGAGAUUGUGAUAUUUGAAUAUUUGAUAUUGAAAAAUGAAUUGAAUUGUAUUGAAUUAUGAAUUAAUGUGAAUAAUUGAAAUAUAUUGUUGAAUUGAAUGAAAUUGUAUGAAUUGUGAAAAUGGGUAAAUAUAUGUAAUUUUCUGAAUGAGAUAUUGAUGAAAGAAUUAUUAAAUUGAGAAAGUGAAUGAAAUACCCUAUUAACUAAUCGGGCUAAGUCGGAUAUAAUUGGCAUGCCAUAGGAUCUGAAAGUGUACGGGAUUUGCCGGCUUUAUCGAUCAGGCACUUUAUGUGUCGUAUUUUAGGCACCUCGUGUGUCGUUUUAGGCACUUUAUGUGUCGUAUACUGAUCAGGUACUGUGUACCGUUUUAGGCGCAAUGUGCCGUACUGGUGUGUUUGGGUUGGAAUCCGUGUAUCCAUCAAAGUCCGGGUUUGUUAAUAGGGGUAAAUAAGUGAAAAGAUAAAUCGAGUGAAUUUGAUUGAUUGAACUAUUGGAAUGAAAUGAGAAAUUGAAUUGAGAAUUGAAAUUGAGAAUUGAAAUUGAGAUAUGAGAUUGAAAACAUGAACCAAAAGGUUCAUGAAAUGAGUGAAGUUCAAAUGGAUAAUGAUUGAUGUUAGAAUCAAUUAAAAUGGUAUGUUGUUAAGAAGUAAAGUGUGAAUACAAGUGAAUUGUGAAUAUAUUGAAAGAAUUUAUACAGCAAGCAAAUGAAAAGAAUUGAGCAAAUAUGUUGUUGUGUUUGUUAUAUGGCUUGUAUAGAAUUUUUAUGGUAAGUAAAUGAAACUUAUCUAUAAAAUAAAUAAAUGAAUGGUUAUAUUUAUCAUUGUGAUUUUAAGUUUAAUUGUUAUAUUAUCAAGUGUUCGGAUUAUAGAAAUACCACUGAGUAUACCAUACUCAGCGUACGGUUUGUUUCCGUGCGCAGGUUAAGUAAAGAUAGUACGUUGAAUCAGCAUCCCAGUCCGAUCCCAAAUUCAUUAAGGUAAAGUGUGUUAAUUAUUGGUAAUGGCAUGUACCUAGGAUGUCUUAUGUGUAUGUCAUUUUGAAAUUGUAAAUGUAAGGAUAAAAUAAAUAAAUUUAAAUUUGGCUAUGGUAUAAAAUAGGAUUUGACUAAUUUGGUAUGAAUUUGAAUUUUUGUGAGACAAUGUUAGAAUGAAUUCGGGUUCCCCUGUUCUGACUUUGAAAAAUCAUAAAAACUUGUAUAAAAAUAAUUACAGGCUAUAAUUUAUAUGCUUAAAACCUUUAAUGAGUCUAUUUUCAAUAAAAAUAAACGGGAACAUCAUCUAAGUUCUGUGCUAUGAGAUAAUUAAAUUUUAGUAAAGAAAGGUCGAAACUGUCAAACAGCAGA
rnacentral:lncRNA from 1 species